ACGUGGGUGGCCGCAGCUACACAUGCAAGUCGAGCGGAACGAGUUAACUGAACCUUCGGGGGACGUUAACGGCGUCGAGCGGCGGACGGGUGAGUAAUGCCUGGGAAAUUGCCCUGAUGUGGGGGAUAACCAUUGGAAACGAUGGCUAAUACCGCAUAAUAGCUUCGGCUCAAAGAGGGGGACCUUCGGGCCUCUCGCGUCAGGAUAUGCCCAGGUGGGAUUAGCUAGUUGGUGAGGUAAGGGCUCACCAAGGCGACGAUCCCUAGCUGGUCUGAGAGGAUGAUCAGCCACACUGGAACUGAGACACGGUCCAGACUCCUACGGGAGGCAGCAGUGGGGAAUAUUGCACAAUGGGCGCAAGCCUGAUGCAGCCAUGCCGCGUGUAUGAAGAAGGCCUUCGGGUUGUAAAGUACUUUCAGCAGUGAGGAAGGUGGUAGUGUUAAUAGCACUAUCAUUUGACGUUAGCUGCAGAAGAAGCACCGGCUAACUCCGUGCCAGCAGCCGCGGUAAUACGGAGGGUGCGAGCGUUAAUCGGAAUUACUGGGCGUAAAGCGCAUGCAGGUGGUUUGUUAAGUCAGAUGUGAAAGCCCGGGGCUCAACCUCGGAAUUGCAUUUGAAACUGGCAGACUAGAGUACUGUAGAGGGGGGUAGAAUUUCAGGUGUAGCGGUGAAAUGCGUAGAGAUCUGAAGGAAUACCGGUGGCGAAGGCGGCCCCCUGGACAGAUACUGACACUCAGAUGCGAAAGCGUGGGGAGCAAACAGGAUUAGAUACCCUGGUAGUCCACGCCGUAAACGAUGUCUACUUGGAGGUUGUGGCCUUGAGCCGUGGCUUUCGGAGCUAACGCGUUAAGUAGACCGCCUGGGGAGUACGGUCGCAAGAUUAAAACUCAAAUGAAUUGACGGGGGCCCGCACAAGCGGUGGAGCAUGUGGUUUAAUUCGAUGCAACGCGAAGAACCUUACCUACUCUUGACAUCCAGAGAACUUUCCAGAGAUGGAUUGGUGCCUUCGGGAACUCUGAGACAGGUGCUGCAUGGCUGUCGUCAGCCUCGUGUUUGUGAAAUGU
rnacentral:rRNA from 1 species